rnacentral:rRNA from 1 species
GACGAACGCUGGCGGCGUGCUUAACACAUGCAAGUCGAACGGAAAGGCCCUGCUUUUGUGGGUUGCUCGAGUGGGGAACGGGUGUGUAACACGUGAGUAACCUGCCCUUGUCUUUGGGAUAACUUCAGGAAACUGGGGCUAAUACCGGGUAGGAGCUCCUGAUGCGUGGUGGGGGUUGGAAAGUUUCGGCGGUUGUGGAUGGACUCGCGGCUUAUCAGCUUGUUGGUGGGGUAGUGGCUUACCAAGGCUUUGACGGGUAGCCGGCCUGAGAGGGUGACCGGCCACAUUGGGACUGAGAUACGGCCCAGACGCCUACGGGAGGCAGAAAUGGGGAAUAUUGCACAAUGGGCGGAAGCCUGAUGCAGAAACGCCCCGUGCGGGAUGACGGCUUUCGGGUUGUAAACCGCUUUCGCCUGUGACGAAGCGUGAGUGACGGUAAUGGGUAAAGAAGCACCGGCUAACUACGUG